ensembl:lncRNA
ACCUUUGCUACUGUUUCACCAUGUGCAGCCUCAUUAACGUAACCUAUCAGCUAGUUAUAAAUACGUCUAUCUCCUUAUUGGUUUUGUCCAUGUGCUCAGAGUUGGCUGGAGUUCCAUCAGGAAGCCAAACCAAGUCAUUUGGUUAAGAGUCCAUCCUGGAAAACAGGGCGGCUUCAAUGCCAGUGCUGCUCAAAGGCUGUGUGCGUGUUUAAGAGUCUAGGAAUCCUGUGAAGACACAGUUCUGCUUCAGCUGGUGGAGGUGUUUAAAACAAGGACUUUCCCGGAUAAGCAGAGCCUGGAGGAACAAUACGUCUACAGAAAGAAGAUUUCCUGGAGUUGGAUUUGAAUGAAAAAAUAAAUGGGAAAGACACAACUGCUUCAAGGACUGCCACCACCAUUGCUGUCCCUCCGACCAUGGCCUGCCACCACUGCUGUUAGAAUCAAUUGAUCAGACCCCCAUUGCUGUUGGUCUUCUGUUACAGAUGCAAACGUUUUAAAUAAAGAAGACAAACCUUCCUUUCAGUGACCAAGAGGGAGGGAUCACAGCGUUACAUUCCUCUUUCCUCUUGAAAAUAGAUGGAUUACCUUCCUUUGGGUCUUGGAAGGAACAUCUGGCAAGAUUGGUCUGGCUGUUUAGGCCUCGGGAGACAGGGGAACUGCUGUCUGUGUCCCUCUGCCUGGUUCUGCAACUGGGUUUUGGAUUUCAGGCCUUUGCAGGGGGCAUGAUGUGUAUCUAGGCUGCUGUUCAGUUUGCAGGGCUGUGCGGUUUCUGCCUGCUAGCCAGAAAUUAGAUUCCUCUCCAUCUGAUCCUCUUCCCUGAGUCUCUGAAUGAGAAGACUGUCCCCUCCCCGUCCCUGUAGAGGCUGCUGGUGUCAUUUCAAGUCAGCUCAGGUAAUGGAUACAAGGCAGAUGUGUAGCAGUGUAGAAUCCUGUCUUCUGGGUCCAUUUCCCCAACCAGAGUGUCUCACUAAUGAACACGGGGAUCCUAAAAGCAGCUCUUAUAAUCACAAGGAAUGCCGCUACAUCUUUUUUGCUAAAAGAGCCUUCUAGCUUUUGAAAACUGCAAUGACUCUCAUUACAGAGACUAAUAAUCAGAUAAGGAAAAUAAGCCAUCUGCAGUCAGAGCUCACAGUGCUGAUGCAUUCAGGGUUUUUCUGCCUAUGCCUGUUAUGAAUUCUAUUUUCAAAUAGGAAUGCAACCAUACUCCAUAACGCAGACUUCGGUACAUUUGCAUGAAUCGAUGAGAUGUAGUCAACAGCUCUCUAGAUCUUUUAGUUCUUCUCUGAGUCAUUUUUUUUGUCUGUUUGUUUUGGUUUUUUGCUUUGUUUCAUUUUUCAAGACAGGGUUUCUCUGUGUAGCCCUGGCUGUCCUGGAACUUACUCUGUAGACCAGCUUGGAGAUCCACCUGCUGCUGCCUCCUUUAAUCAGCUAGGAUUAAAGGCGUGUGCCAGCACCUCCUGGCAGGCACGAUUUUUUAAUAGCUUUUAAAUUAUGGUGGUGGCAUCUUCAUUAACUAGUUAAUUGAACCACUUUGCUGUUGUGAAUAUUGAGGUUGUUCACUGUUACUAACAGUUUUGUGACUCACACAGCCCUGCAUGUUUUCUUGGUUGCUCCUCCCCAGGGCCUGUGCUUGACAAAAGAUUUGCUAGAAAGGCUGUACUCAUUUAGAGGUUGAAAGAGUUCCUGUUCUAGCUGGUCUUCACAGAAAGUCUGUGUGUGAAAGGUGCGGAGCUGCCUCGUGACCUUCAAGGUGCUGCCUGGGCGCGUUUUGGCACAGCUCUGCAUGAUGGGCAGGCGGGCGUGGUUAUUCAUAUUUUGGAAGCUAAAAAGGCUCCAUUUCGAAGAGCCCACAGAGGAACCCCAGGUAGCAUAAUGAAGUGAGUUCGCACAGACAGCUCUUGUGAUAAAGUGAGUAACUUGUGGUGAGGCCACCAAAACAAAAUGACUAUGGGAGCUGCUUUGGAGCUCUUCCUCUUUUUCCUAGAUGGAUUUUGGUUUUGACUGAUUCAUGGUAAUUGUGUAUCCAUUGGAUAGUAAUUAGCUACUGAGGACAAUGGUUUGUUAAGUAUGUGGCAAUGAAAGUAUGGUCUCAGCAUACUGGAGAGCACUUCCCUUUCUGUCUUCUGUCCAGGAGAGCAAGCCCCUGAGGACUCAGGAGUGCAGCUUGUUCAAAAUUCUCAAGCAGUUAAGUUGACUUAGCCAAGGCCACUCAGAGUGUCAGUGACCAAGUCAGAAAUAGAAGCCAUUGCUUCCUGUGACAAAGGAUGUGCUUUUCCAAGACAGCUGGGCUCUUGCCAUUGGCCAAGUCACUCAAACUUCUGUAGUUGUCUCUAUAAGAGCAGUGGGCUGGGGAUCUGGUUAAAAUGUAGGUUCCCAUCUGAUAGUCUGGGGCUAGGUCCUAAGUUUUCUGCAUUUCUUACAAGUUCCCAGAUGAUUCCUUUGGCUGGGGCCGCUCUUGGAUCAGUGAGCAGCCAGAGAAAGAGCUCAGUAAACAGCAGAGCUAAUGACCUAGAUAAAGACACGACUCACUGGCAAAGAGAACAUUUGAAAUGCUGAUGGCUGAAAAGGGUGUUCCCAAUAGUUAUGAGUCUUAAAGGUCAUAUCCUGUUUCUGCUAGAAGCACCCAGGCAUGGGAUCACUCAACUGGCCAGAUGCAGGCUCUUCAGACACACCUCUUAACAGUACAAUCGCCCCUUUAUUGUAUGGAAGAAGCUGAAGCAAGGCAGCCAGGGUAGAAGCUUUAAUAUUCCAAAGGCUCACCAAGUGUCCCCAUGGAUCCUAAUUAAUCACCUGGAGAAAGACCAAGUUGUCUGGGAUGGGAAGAGAACCUCACGCCACUGCAACGUCAGCCCCGUUGACACUUGGAUGACAAAAAGUAGCACUUAAUGAGAAAAGGAGUGAAACAGAGCCUGGGCACAGGAGCAGAAGGCCACGGCCUGUGAAGUUUCUGCAUUGCAGGCAUGGCUUGCCCACUCCCAAGUACCGGCAAAAGACGUCAGAAUUAUUCAGGGUUUGGGCACAGAGUUAAAAGUAGUUACUAUUAACAGUUUUCAAGGCAGGGGGAGUAGGUUGCUUGGCGCCAUGGAGGGGUGAACACAGCAGGCCAAGCAGAGCCAGCCCUGUGGCCAGGGUUGGAGGGUUGAGCCCGCUUAUUAUUUCUUCAGAUUUAGAACCAGGAAAUGCCAGCAUUAAAGCUGGAGCAUGAGUCAUAGGAAAAGAUGUAGAGGCUGAGAAUACUGGUGUUUUGAACCUAUGCUCCCUGGAACUCCAAAGCGUCUAUGGGAAGCCAUUUCAGGGUCUGCUGCUAGGGUCAGGUGUAAAGGGAUGUGGUCCUUCAUCCUAAGUUUAGCCCCACUCGGUAUCUGCUUUACAGGUUUGGAUUCUGAAUAUGAUGGAUUUUUAUAAUGGGUCUUAUACUUAAACAUCUCUUUAUUUGACAGCUCAGAGGAGGAAUAUAACUUCUCAGAGAUUUAUAGCCAGUUUGUGACAUGGCAGGGAGGUAUUUUCUCUGAGGGUGUGGAUGUACCACAGUACUAUACUUAAAAUGCCCUCAACACUGGCAUCUUUUCCUUUAGGGCAGCCUGUUUAUUUUGUUCCAUUUCCCCAGUUCAGAUCUCAUCAAAACUCAAAUCAGUGUCCUUUAUGCCCUAAUCUGGGAAGAGGAGUAGCCUAUAUACCACAUUAGCCAAGGUUAUCUGUGUGGUGUGAUGUGUGUGGCCCUCAGUCAACCUUUACUGUUGCUCAUCUAACUGGAAUUCCUGCUUUAGGUGGGACAAGUUUUCCGAUGAACUUGCGUCAGUGCACCUAAGAAAUGGAGGACUAGUUUAUGUUUGUCCAUUACACAAACGAGGAGUAAUGUGACCAGCAAAAACUCUGGCUGUUUUAUAAGCAUGUGGUGUAAUGUAGGUCACAUGCUAGUUAAUAGGACCAGUCACACAGAUUCUGGUUGUCUUCUUUGAAAAGACCAGGUACAAAGGACUGUGGGGGAUGCUUUCAGAACUAGUUCAGGAGUCUCCCCAUUUCCUUCCUUGUUCUUGUAUUUGUGGUGGUCUCCAUCAAGAUGGGUCUUACAUUCGCCACGUUCUGGGUCUGAGCUGUUGCAACAUCAAAGACAUUUACCUCUUGCAAUUUUACUAUGGAGAAAAAAAAUUUCUUCCUUCCUUUUUUUUUUUUUUUUUCUUUUUAAGGCACUAUACCUUCUGUCAACCCACAUCAAGGCUGUAAUGUUUAAGUCAGUAAUAUUUUGGAAGUUUAUUAUUGUAUCAGAUGAGUAGCCUAUCCCAAUAGACAGAGGUACUUUUAUAAAAAAAUAAAACAAUAAGAGAAUAUAUUGGACAUUGCUGAUUUUACCAUAAUUUUUUCUGUUUGCUCCAUGGUUCAUCCAAUUUGAUGGUCCACCAUCAAAUAACCAUGUGAUUAGAGAAAGGAUUCAUAUUGGAAGAAUUUAGGAUUGGUUAUAGAUGAAUUGCUAAAAGUUUGUGACUCAUUUCAUUAAAGGAAAUCACAAAGAGUGUAAUAAAUGAUGGAAAAAAAUGAAUGAUAUUUGGUGAAUGCUAUAUUCAAGGUCAGUGAGGUCUGGAGCAUUGUUAAUCUUCAUCACUUACUUAGAAGAGCCUGUCAGCAUUAUUUUCCUUAGCAGGCUAAGGGGCUUUUUUUUUUUAAAUUUAUUUAACUUAUUUUAUGUGUGUUGGUGUGAAGGUGUCAGAUUCCAGAUUCCAAGAAACUGGAGUUACAGACAGUUGUGAGCUGCCAUGCGGAUGCUGGGAAUUGAACCUGGCUUCUCUGGAAGAAUAGCCAGUGAUUUUAACCACGGAGCCAUCUCUCCAGCCCCGGGACUUCUUUUUUAAACCUGAGUCUAGUCCUGAAUUUCUAGACUGUGCCUCUGAUUUAAUGACAGAAUGUGGCUGAAAUUCAUCUCCCUUAGAUUUUUUCCCUGGUACCAGAAAAUUAAAAUAAUUAGGACUUCUGAAAUGGAAAUAAUUUUGUAAAAAUCGUAUUUAAUUUUCCUUUCAGGCUGUUUUAUAAGCAUCACAUCCAAACUCUGGUCAUGCUCACUGCCACACUUGCUUCCAUGUGAAUUACAAGUAAGUUACUACCAAUUUCAGUUCCAAUUUCACAAAACAAGAUGGUUCCAAUGAUUGACUCAGCUUCUAAGUCUUGAAAUAUUUUUUAUUGCCCCACCUCUCUGGAGGUCAGAAGACAACUUAGAGGCACUGGCUCUUUCCUUCCAUCUUGUGGGCCCUAGGGAUCAAACUCAGUGGGUCAGGCUUUGUGUUGAGUACAUUUACAUUCUAAGCCAUCUGCUGGCCUGGCUUUGUUCUUCACUGAAUCCACUGUAGUUGGGAGAUCACAUGAUCCCUGACUUGUCUAGCUAAGAGGAUCCCAUGCUACCUUUAGCAAGAGAUGCUGUGGCUUGUGGGAAGGGCUGACAACCUUAUAGAAGCAAAUUACGUAUUGGAGAGCUCCAUGGGCUAUUUGGGGAGGGUUUUGUUUCAUUUCUUAUUUGUUUACUUCAAUGACUGCUAGUAUUAAGUGGAAAUGAAUUGUAGCUGUUCAAAUAGAAAAUGUCACUGAAUAACUUAAAAUUAAGUAGAAUUUUAUCUGCUGCAUUUGAAGGCAUAGGUUAGGAUUUCUAGGCGAGCAGAAUGAGCACAUACAUGAAAUGUUGAGUUAGAAGACAAAGGGAGAGAGCUGUCUUCGUGAGUCCCAUAACACAAAGAGGGCAAGGACAAAACCUGGAUCUUGGUCCCUUGCUGCUCUCUGGUGUCUGUGCCUUCAUCUCUGAGGAUUCCACAAAUGGAAUCUGGUUCUCUUUAGCUGCCUUGGGGUGGUUUCUGUGGCACUUGGCACCGUGGGCUGUGUAGAGGUUCCCAAUAUGAAGAUGGCUUGGGGAUAGUGGAAGAUGAGCUUGGCUGCAGGAGGUGUGGGAAUGGAGCCUCAACAGUUUGCCCAUUGCUGAAGAGCGCCAUGUAGGCUGGGUUGAUGUAUUCCAAUAUUUAAAUAUUGAGAUUCUGUAGACAGAUAUUCUAAACUUUUUAAUCACAUUUGUGUAAGUGUAUAUAUGUAAAUAUAUGUUUAUGAGCAUAUUCACACAUGCCUGGUACAUGUGUGGAGGCUACAGGAUAACUUGGGGAAAUCUGUUCUCUUCUUCCAUUAUGUGGAUCCCAGGGUUUGAACUCAGGUCAUUAGGAUUGGUGGCAAGAGCCUCUAUCUGCUGAGCUAUCGUGCCUGCCCUAGAAGGCAUGACUAGAAAUGUUUGAUGUCUCUUGACCUACCCUAAACUUCUGUAUUGGUUACUUUUCUUGUUGCCAUGGCAAAACACCCGAUAAGAAAUUAAAGGAAGAAAGGUUUAUUACAGUCUACAAUUCAAGAAGAUUCAUCCCAUCAUUGCAGAGCAGGCAUCUCAGAAGAAGCCAGAGUCUAAUUGGUCACCUUGUAUCCUCAGUUGGGAGGCAGAGGACAAAUGGGAAGUUAAGGACUGUAAGAUCUUAAAGCCUGCUCCCAGUGACUCACUCCCUCCAGCAAGGUUCCCCUUACUAAAGGGUCUGUCCACAGGCUGUCAAACAAGUGUUAACAUCUGGGGACAAGUGUUGAAACACAUAGACCUGUGGGGGACAUUCCACAUUCAAACCACAACAAUGUCCCUGAUGACUAACGUCAAUCAGUGUCACUAUUUUUAACGUCAUUAAAUGUGAUCUCACAGCCUUUCUAAAGUAAGGUGUGUUAGGAGAAUAUGCCUAUGUAAUACUGGAAUUCCUGGGGGUGGGGUGAGCUGGGGGCAGUUUCAGGUUGUUUGUGAAAUCUCCAAAAUCUUAAGUAUAGCCGGGUGUGGUGGUACACGUACUACAGAGUCCCAGCUACUCAGGAGGCUGAGACAAGAGGAUCGCUUGAGUCCAGGAGUUCUGGGCUGUAGUGCGCUAUGCCAAUCCAGUGUCUGCACUAAGUUCGGCAUCAAUAUGGUGACCUCCUGGGAGCAGGGGACCAUCAGGUUGCCUAAGGAGGGGUGAACCGGCCCAGGUCAGAAAUGGAGAAGGUCAAAAUCUUAAAUAGAACAAGGGUGUAGCUGAUGCUAAGGCCAGGCCUGAGUGAAGACAGUGUGUCUUCUAUGUCACCAGCUGCCCUACCAGCAACUCCUGAGCUCCAGCCACAGGCACUCAAUCCUGAGCCCCGCCCGGACACACCCUAUGAGGUCACAGCCCCUUUCUCUCAGAACUACAGCAUAAUGUUGGGAGAUGGCAUCCCUCAUUUCUGAUAAGCUGUGAAUUUAUUAUUAGGAUGGAAUAUAAGCGCAGCUAUAUCUUAAUCUAUUAUUUUAAAAAAGUUUUAUUGCCUAGGCUACCACUCUACACUUCCCUUUCUCAUAUACGAGUUCCUUCUGGGACCGUUGAAGUGUUUUUCUACCAGCUGGACCAUUGUUGGGAGUAAUUGCUUCUCUCCUUCCACCCUGGGAGGAGGGGUAGGUUUGUGGUCUCUUAUGUCGAAGAAGGAUGCUUUUGCAAGUUG